rnacentral:lncRNA from 1 species
CAGGUUUUGGCCAUUUGUGAUGAGCCUAUUAACGACAUCAAUAAUAAGGUUCAGGAUCCUGGACAGCGUUGAUAAAAAAAAACGAGAGUGGUUCCAGCAUAGUGGACCCCAUCAUUGGCAUCUGCGUCAUUGGAGUGAUCACUGUCACAUGUCUGCUGGCCAUGUCAUUGGCUGGGAUGGAAUGGGAGUCCAAGGGAGGGCCUUCUCCCUCAGCUGUGGACACUGCCAGUAGCUACAGUCAUGUGACCUGACUGAACAAGUGGCGGAUCAAGUCCUUGUAUCAAGGUGUGGUGACAGAUGACCUGCACACUGGGUUUCAGAUGCUGCUCCAGGGUGCAGGUUUGGUCAGAUGUCCUCCUGAUGGGGUUAAAAAGGAACUUGCAUAAAAUCAAAUAAAAAAUCAAAUCAAAUUUUAUUGGUCACAUACACAUGGUUAGCAGAUGUUAAUGCGAGUGUAGCGAAAUGCUUGUGCUUCUAGUUCCGACCAUGCAGUAAUAUCUAACAAGUAAUCUAACAAUUUCACAACUACCUUAAAUACACAAGUGUAAAGGAAUGAAUAAGAAUAUGUACAUAUAAAUAUAUGGAUGAGUGAUGGCCGAACGGCAUAGGCAAGAUGCAGUAGAUGGUAUAGAGUACAGUAUAUACAUAUGAGAUGCGUAAUAUAGGGUAUGUAAACAUUAUAUAAAGUAGCAUUGUUUAAAGUGACUAGUGAUACAUUUAUUACAUCCAAUUUUUAAUUAUUAAAGUGGCUAGAGAUUUGAGUCAGUAUGUUGGCAGCAGCCACUCAAUGUUAGUGAUGGCUGUUUAACAGUCUGAUGGCCUUGAGAUAGAAACUGUUUUUCAGUCUCUCAGUCCCAGCUUUGAUGCACCUGUACUGUCCUCGCCUUCUGGAUGGUAGCGGGUGUGAACAGGCAGUGGCUCGGGUGGUCGUUGUCCUUGAUGAUCUUUUUGGCCUUCCUGUGACAUCGGGUGGUGUAGGUGUCCUGGAGAGCAGGUAGUUUGCCCCCGGUGAUGCGUUGUGCAGACCUCACUACCCUCUGGAGAGCCUUGCGGUUGUGUGCGGAGCAGUUGCCAUACCAGGCUGUGAUACAGCCCGACAGGAUGCUCUCGAUUGUGCAUCUGUAAAAGUUUGUGUGUGUUUUUGGUGACAAGCCAAAUUUCUUCAGCCUCCUGAGGUUGAAGAGGUGCUGUUGCGCCUUCUUCACCACAUUGUCUGUGUGGGUGGAUCAUUUCAGUUUGUCCUUGAUGUGUACGCCGAGGAACUUAAAACUUUCCACCUUCUCCACUACUGUUUCGUCGAUGUGGAUAGGGGGCUGCUCCCUCUGCUGUUUCCUAAAGUCCACGAUCAUCUCCUUUGUUUUGUUGACAUUGAGUGUGAGGUUAUUUUCCUGACACCACACUCCAAGGGCCCUCACCUCCUCCCUGUAGGCCGUCUCAUUGUUGUUGGUCAUCAAGCCUACCACUGUAGUGUCGUCUGCAAACUUGAUGAUUGAGUUGGAGGACAGACCAUCCUGCAUUGACAGCUACAUUGGCAUUCUACAGUGAGUGAAUCACUGUCAAAUCAGAAAGACGAGUUCCUUAUGGAUGUGUUAGUGAGAAUGAAGUUUAAUGUGUCUUUGUGGCUGUGUUUUAGUGACUCAUUUGACCUGCAGUAUGAAGUGUGAGGGCUGCGGAUGAGGGAGUUAACCCUUGGUUUGAGGCAAGCCCAGAAAGGGGUGUCAACACCUGUGUGCACCCCUGCAAAUGUUUUAUUUAUGUAUGAUAACAUUCAGAGUAUACAGUUUGUGGUCUAUGACGUUCAUUUUUUUUUAAAAAUAGUAUUGACAGAGGGAUGUUGUCUUAGUUACAAUAGACCCUGAUGCCAUGGUGACUGAGCCUCAGCCUCAUACUGUGUUUCAGUCCGAGCAGGGGGAAAAUACCAUUGAUGUGUACUGGCUGUUCGAUGAUGGAGUCAUGGCCCUCGUCGGCAAGUUCCGCCUUGGUUUCCAUGACGUCAAAGUGCUGCCUGAUAUCAAUGGAAGACCACAACAUGAACAGUCAGUGCUCUGUUGAGACACUUCCAUCUGCCUCGCUGACAAGUGUGAGGAGGUUUGAGGAUCUGAUAGGGACCUACAAGCUGAACACCGACUAGAAGCAUGCAGCUGAGCAGAUGAAGCAGGUCUGUCCCUGGGUGGUGUCUGGUGAGGAGAUGGAGAGAAAUAAGAUCAUUAACUGGGAUUCGAGGGCCCAAAGGGCAGUACCACUCUAUUGCCAAAAUGUCAAUUGUAGCAUAGCUAGAUGUGGAAUACAUGUUUUGGAAUUUUGACAGUAUCAUUGUUCUCUGGUUACUGUACCUCCAUAUAUGUGUUUUUGCUCCAGACCCUUCAACAGAUUCGUCUGAAUGAGGUUCUCCAAGAUUACUCAAGGGAUGCAGCCAUGAUUGUUAUGUACAUAUUUUGUAUUUACAAACCAGAUGUCUUUCUUGCAUUCAUUGACUUCAACCCACCCCAUCCCAUUACAAAGCCCAUAAAGGCUUUCCCACAUGAACAGGUGAUGAGAUUGAUUACUCCCUUGGUCUUGCAUGAGAUGAUACCCCAAACAGGGAUUUUUCCACCUGUAUGUGGGUGUCUGAAGAAGGAUGUUGUUAUAGUGCUGUUGCACUGUGCUCAUGAGCCACAUUUGUAGUUCCCAUUUGGAACGGGUGUCAAGAGUGGGCUUAUUGACAGAACCAUGCCCGUGGGAAGGAGAGGGCAAUAUCCCAGUGCUCUGUGCAUGGCUUGGCUGGAGACUCGUGACUCGUGCCCACUUAAUGGUGAGGGGAAACCAAGAGCAUAUCUUCACCGUCUAAUGUCAGUGAUCCCUGUUCUAACUAUGUUUAAUGAAAUCACGCAAUAACCAAGGAAAAUAGUAUUGUUAUAGCCCUGGUGAUAAUACAUCUAAUUUUCUCUGGUAAAAGUGCUCUGGUCAUGACAAUUCACUUCUUUCAUUAUCAUCAGCAGACUCCUUAGCCAUCUGAAUACAUUUAACAUCAUCAUCAGUAGCAGAAGCAUUGUUGUCAUUAUCAUCACUAUGCAGUAGAAUAUAACAUUUGUUAUUGGUGUGCUUGAUGAUAGACUGUUUUGAAGUGUAACACCACUGUGUAUUUGUA